UGCCCCGGUGACCUCCGGCUGCCUGUUGCCACCGUCGCUCCUUCCCUCGCGACCUCCCGGCCGCCCGCGGGCGUGACCUUGUCGUGCGAGCCACAAGCGAGAGGGAGUCGCCCUGCAACCUCGUGAGCACCUUAGCCGCCGUGACGGUGGGGCAGCGAAGCAGGACGCGAGGUGGGAAAGGUGGUGGUGGAGGAAUGAGGAGGCCGCAGCAAGUGGGUUGUGGGGCUGCGGCGAGGAGGAGGGGCCGGAUUGGACAUCAGGGCGGCAGUGAGCGGGAGGAAGGAGGAGGAGGAGCUUGGUGACGGCAUCGGCGUGGUUGAUGGGUCUGGCACGCGACGGAAACGACUUGGGUGGCGGCGCGAGGGCAAGACGUCGUCUUGGCCGGUUUCGCCGAGGAGCGCCUGGCAGCCGGCGGAGUUGGUCGCGCUGCACCAUGUGGUCUCGUGCUGUGCUGGUGCGGCCUUGGUCGGAUGCAGUCGAUGUUCAUGCCUUAAAAGAAGCACGCUGGAAUCACAUCCAUACAUCUGCCGAGACCAAUGACAUGGGAAGAACUUUGAGGUCUAUGAGGCAUGCUACAUAUCCAUCAAUAUACACCUAUAUAUGGCGAUAAUGGCUCAAUAUCUCUUGGGGGUGUUUGGAAUGUAAAGGCUCCUUUCACCGAUGUCGUGGUCAAACUCUCCUCGCAAAGAUUACUUCAAAGGAAAACAAGUAAAUUGUUUUGGCAGUGGUUGAUGGAUCUAAUACAUCAGAAAGUCUCGUCUCCGCACCACACCCUGUACUUCAGUUGGUUGGUCAAUACAUGAACCAUCAAACAAUACAUAUUUAUGUUCCAAUCUUACAAGUAAUGCCCUCACAUCUAUUCAAGCAUUGGAACAUGGAGAAUGCUUAGAGGGUAUGGACUUAAAACUGGAAAUCUUCACUUAUAACUAGGAACACAAAUCUCCAUUUCACUUACAACUAGGAAUCUUGCAAUGCCUAUAUUGUCACUCUAUCCAUUAGUCAUUAUGCAAUGAAACUCCUGUCUGUAUGCAACAUGUGCUUUAUGGUUCAUGAAACUUCUAUCUAUAUGCAAUGAAACUCCUUCCUUUAUCUAACAAAGUUGUGAUGGUAUUACGAGAAAUGAGCAUAUUAUGAUUUAAGAUUUUUUUUUUAUCAUUUACAUAGUAUGGAGUUGUUGGUAUGAAUUAUUUUCCUGUUGCAACGCACGGGCACUUAACUAGUAAGAGUAAAAAUAUGAUUCAGCGAAGUAGACCAGGGCUAUCUCUUACCAUCAGGGGGCGGGGGCCUGAACCAGUAUAAAAUGUACAUCUUCAUUUGUGGAUAUACGCUCAGAUAUACCUUGGCACUCACCGAACCAUCUAUCCUCAAAUAUUGUAGUCGAAUCCUUUUCGACAAACAUGCUAUCCCAAUAUGAAAUAGAUCUAAUAUUAAAUCUUUGAUGGAAAUUUCUUGUACCUAGCUAUUUCCUGGGCAAUAUCUUGUUAACAACU